rnacentral:tRNA from 1 species
AUGGCUCAGUGGGUAAGAGCUCAUGUUCUGCAAGCAUGAGGACUUGAGUUCAAAUCCCCAAU